rnacentral:rRNA from 1 species
AGUGAACGCUGGCGGUAGGCCUAACACAUGCAAGUCGAACGGCAGCACAGUAAGAGCUUGCUCUUACGGGUGGCGAGUGGCGGACGGGUGAGGAAUACAUCGGAAUCUACUUUUUCGUGGGGGAUAACGUAGGGAAACUUACGCGAAUACCGCAUACGACCUACGGGUGAAAGCAGGGGAUCUUCGGACCUUGCGCGAUUGAAUGAGCCGAUGUCGGAUUAGCUAGUUGGCGGGGUAAAGGCCCACCAAGGCGACGAUCCGUAGCUGGUCUGAGAGGAUGAUCAGCCACACUGGAACUGAGACACGGUACCGACUCCUACGGGAGGCAGCAGUGGGGAAUAUUGGACAAUGGGGGCAAGCCUGAUCCAGCAAUACCGCGUGGGUGAAGAAGGACUUCGGGUUGUAAAGCCCUUUUGUUGGGAAAGAAAAGCAGCAGGUUAAUACCCCGCUGUUCUGACGGUACCCAAAGAAUAAGCACCGGCUAACUUCGUG